UACGGAGGAGGCAAGCGUUAUCCGGAAUUAUUGGGCGUAAAGCGUCCGCAGGUGGCACCUCAAGUCUGCUGUCAAAGACCGGGGCUUAACUUCGGAAAGGCAGUGGAAACUGAACAGCUAGAGUAUGGUAGGGGCAGAGGGAAUUCCUGGUGUAGCGGUGAAAUGCGUAGAGAUCAGGAAGAACAUCGGUGGCGAAGGCGCUCUGCUGGACCAUAACUGACACUCAGGGACGAAAGCUAGGGGAGCGAAUGGG
rnacentral:rRNA from 1 species